rnacentral:rRNA from 1 species
GGAGCUUGCUCCUUGAUUCAGCGGCGGACGGGGAAGACUCUAGGAAUCUGCCUGAUGUGUGGACAACGUUUUGAAAGGAACGCUAAUACCGCAUACGUGCUACGGGAGAAAGCAGGGGACCUUCGGGCCUUGCGCUAUCAGAUGAGCCUAUGGUCGGAGUAGCUAGUAGGUGAGGUAAUGGCUCACCUAGGCGACGAUCCGUAACUGGGCUGAGAGGAUGAUCAGUCACACUGGAACUGAGACACGSUCCAGACUCCUACGGGAGGCAGCAGUGGGGAAUAUUGGACAAUGGGCGAAAGCCUGAUCCAGCCAUGCCGCGUGUGGSAAGAAGGUCUUCGGAUUGUAAAGCACUUUAAGUUGGGAGGAAGGGCAGUAAGUUAAUACCUUGUUGUUUUGACGUUACCGACGGAAUAAGCACCGGCUAACUCUGUGCCAGCAGCCGCGGUAAUACAGAGGGUGCAAGCGUUAAUCGRAAUUACUGGSUGUAAAGSGCGCGUAGG